GUGUCAGCAGCCGCGGUAAUACGUAGGGUGCGAGCGUUAAUCGGAAUUACUGGGCGUAAAGCGUGCGCAGGCGGUUUCGUAAGACAGACGUGAAAUCCCCGGGCUCAACCUGGGAACUGCGUUUGUGACUGCGAGGCUAGAGUACGGCCGAGGGGGGUAGAAUUCCCAGUGUAGUAGUGAAAUGCGUAGAGAUGUGGAGGAAUACCGAUGGAGAAGGCAGCCCCCGGGGGUAGUACUGACGCUCAUUCACGAAAGCGUGGGGAGCAAACAGGAUUAGAUACCCUGGUAGUCCACGCCCUAAACGAU
rnacentral:rRNA from 1 species